rnacentral:antisense_RNA from 1 species
GGUUCACAUCAUAAUGGUUCUUUUGCCAACAGGAGCUGGUAAUCAGGAUGGCAGUGAGGCAGGCACUUGCUUGCGGAAGAACAGGCCUAGUUUUUUAAGAAGCCACGAAAGUGUCUUUAGAUGAUUAGGAUCUAAGGGGCCAACAGCUUUGCAAUAACAGCAUAAAUAUUGUGGGCUGGAUGGACAGGCACCAAAUGGGGACAUUCCAUCCUGCUGUGUGAUGAGAAAGCUGCCACUUCUGAGGCCUUCCAAAACAAAUAAACACUCCAAAUGCCAGAAGGAAAAGCCCAGGAAAGACCUAUUCCAACUGGAGAUGGUGAAUGUCAUUUCUUCAAGAAGCUGAGAUCCAGCUGGUACUGCCAGGAAUAUGAAGGGAGAAUGAAACAAAACUGCUCCGCUCAGGGAACUUAGAAAUUGAAAAGGCAAGGCACAGGCUGGAAGAAAAUAUUUGAAAAAGAUUUAUGUGACAAAGAACUUCUUUCUGGAUUAUACAAAAUAUUUUUAGAUAUUCUUACAACUCUAAAAUAAGAUAACUCCUUAAAAAUGUGAAUUCUACCAAAGGAGAGAUAAAGAUGACAAAUACAGUCAAAGAUGCUGAAAAUCGCUUAUUUAUUAUUGGGAAGUUACAAGCUACAGCAUAAUGAGAUACCACUACAACCUACUAAACUGACUAAAAUUAAUCAGACUAACCAGGUGUUGGCAAGAAACAGGG